CUUGGUCAUUUAAGGAAGUAAAAGUCGUAACAAGGUCUCCGUUGGUGAACCAGCGGAAGGAUCAUUAUCGAGUUAUUCAACUCCCAAACCCUAUGUGAACUUACCACUUGUUGCUUCGGCGCGCGCUUCGGCGCCGCCGAGGACACUUAAACUCUUUGUUUUUAUAAGCAUUUCUGAGUGGCCGAAAGGCAAAAAUACAAAUGAAUCAGAACUUUCACCAACGGAUCUCUUGGUUCUGGCAUCGAUGAAAAACGCAGCGAAAUGCGAUAAGUAAUGUGAAUUGCAGAAUUCAGUGAAUCAUCGAAUCUUUGAACGCACAUUGCGCCCGCCCGCAUUCUGGCGGGCAUGCCUGUUCGAGAGUCAUUUCAACCCUCUAGGCCUACUCUUUUGAGGACGGCUCCGCGUUGGGGGACGUGCAAACUCCCCCCCGAAUCUCACGGUUCACGCAGGUUUGGAAUAGUUAUAAGCCCGUGACGACGUUCCCUAAUGAUCCUUCCGUGUGCUCACCUACGAAAACUUUGAUACGACUCUCACUUCCUCUACAUGAUUAUUAAUCUUCAACUCGCAUCCAGGCGGACUACCCGCUGAACUUCGCAUAUCACGUCGUGAGGAGAUCAUCCUGGC
rnacentral:rRNA from 1 species